UCCUUGUGAUGAGCAAAACUUAUUCAGUUCUGCUUCCGAAGAGAGAGCAAUCUCUUUGUGGAUACCUCUUUACCAAAACUCUUUACUGAUCU
rnacentral:snoRNA from 1 species